ensembl:snoRNA
AGCCUCUCAGCUCCGCUUAAUCACACGGGUCAGUGUGUGCUUGGCGUGUUUUCAGGGAGGCAGAGAAAGGCUCUCUUAAUGCACGACAGACCCGCCCAGAAUGGCCUCUCUGUUCCUAGGAGUGUGACAGUU